rnacentral:rRNA from 1 species
CCAGCGAGAGCACCAGUGUAGUGAAUUACGGUCCAGUGCGGGGAUUGUCGUUGUGCUUGGGGCGGGGAGGCAGGAGCCUUUUAGUUACGGCGUCGCCGAGGGGGUUAGGUAGGUGUAUAGAAAGAAGCCUGAGCAGUUGCGGUUAUGUCUAGUCUAGUCUAGUCUAUGUGAGGACGGACGCGAUGUAUGAGGAUCUACCGAUGCCCCUUACACCAACUCGUUUAGUGUACUGUAGCAUCAUGAGAGACUAGCAGUGACCGUUCAGUCGCUCACAAACUCUUAAGUCUAGGUACAAUGGUGUGCUCGAGAUUGGACGGGACUAUUUAAUGGUGACGGUUCAACGAGUCUACUAGUCCACAUGUGACGGUCGAAUCCUUAAGUACUAGAUGCGGACCACCACUUGUCACACUGCGGAAGUACGUAACCCUCUACUCCGGUACAGCGUCCUGUCCUUUUAUGACAUGGUCAUCAUGAUAACUAAACUUGUAUGAGGGUUAAUUCGUAGUGACAGGAGCGUGUUAAGUUGUUCCAAAAGUCAAAAUUAAAUAAAACAAUAAUAACCGCGAUGUUCUUUGUUCUUCGAAAAUCUUCCCUUUUCUCUUUUAAAUGUUUACUAAUGAUGUGAUGAUGGUAUUCUUUGAGGUUAAACUCAACGAGACUAGUACUAGGAUCUUCGUCGUCUUACAUUCUCGUUGAUCACGUUGGAAGGAAACGAUGUGUACAAGUAGGAGACUACGGGUUUCCUGCUCCUCGAUAUAACAGUAGUACGGCCAUGUUUGUUUGAAUUAAGAGUUUGAAUAAGUGGAGGUUGGAGUCCCACCCACCCAGGAACUAUAAUAAGUUAGGACGGAUAUAGUAGAGAUGAGUUGAGUGGAUACGUUAGACGUUACCAUCUACUAACGUAGUGAACAAACCUCCCUAGUGUCGAGUGUACGUCUACCAACGUAGUGAGUUCCUGGUUCACAGUCAGCGGCUCUACUCGUCUCGUCUGACCGGGGACCUAGGAGGCGCGUUAAGCGUUCCUAACUUAAAAUGAGUCUCUUGGUUGCCGUACUUACUUUCAUGAUCGUCCGUCGUUUAAAAGUGUUGAAAAAAUGGCAGAUUUUAUUAACAGAGAUCCCGAUUCGAAAUACAGUAGUUGUCGUUUCUUGUUCCUCUCUUGCCCUGUCGUUACUGUUUAUAGGCGUUGUGUUCUUGUCUUGUCUUCGUGACCGCUUCUCUCUCUAUCUAUCUUUUAUACCUACCUAACCUACCCACCGCCUCGCGAUUAAGGGUUCUUAAGAACCGGAGAUACUAUACUGCUACACCACUUAGAACGACCCUAAGAUACGGCUAGACACCCUUCAUCGCCGCCGCCGUCUCCCCUUUUGCUUAAAAUAUAUGGGCUCCUCCUGCCUGCCUGCCUGCCUACGGGGAGGCGGUAAGCUACGGCCAGUGGCAGCUACAGCUGUGAGUCACGAGCGGCCUUCAGCCCUUGUCGCAGUCGAGGGCCGCGGGCGGCGGCGGCGGCGGCGGCGCCCUGGGCUCGAGGUCGAGGAGCCGCUUUCUGCUGCCGCGGUAGUAGGGGUAGCGCCGGGGCGGCGGCUGGUACGCCACCACGUAGGGCCCGCCCGGCUGACCGCGCGGCGACCGGUGCCGCGCCGAGUCCUUGGGCACCAGCUUCGGCGGCGGACCGGGCCGCGGCAUCACCGGCUCGCCCGCGCGCCGCCCCACCACCUUCACCCGCUAGACGACGCCCACCACCACUACCACCACGCGCCGCCCCACCCGCCCGUACCGCCGCAUACCUCACAUUCCCAGCCGCUGCCGGCCCGGCGCCGGCCCGCCCUCCUUGCCCCUCCCGGGCCACCGCUUCUCCACGAGCCACCGGCGCAGCCAGGGCCUCGGCCUCCUCACCGACGGAGGGGGCGGCGGCGGCGGCAACGGCUCGGGGACGUACGCGAACUCCAUCUCCGCCAUGAAGACCUCCACCCUGCGCUGCAAGAGCGCGCACUCCGGCAGGUGCGAGUAGUCGACGUAAUACCAGAACCCGUGCCGCAAGAACUACGGCUCCACGCGGUGCCGCAGCUGCUUGGCGAACACGUCGACGCCGCAGGUGUGCUCCGCGCCGGCGAACUCCCAGGAGCAGCUUCGCGCGCUUGGUCGAACCGAGGAGGAGGAGGGAGUAGGAGGGUUCGGGCCUCGUCUCGUUAAGCGGCCGAACCGGCGUCAGGAGGCGACCGUCGUCGUUCGCUCUCUCGUGCCCUCCUCCCGCACCCCUCCUUCCUCUCCUACCCCUCCUCCCUCCCCCAAUGAAGCUCCACCUAGAGAGAAGAAGAUUCGAAAGCAGAGAGAGAGAGGAGAGAGUGAGCAAACCCAGAAAGAAAGACGGGCGACGACGCCGACGACGACACUAUAGGGGGAGAAAAGAGAGAGGGGGGGAUAGAUAGUUGUUAGACGAGUGUGGAAAAGGCGGGGAAGGGGGAGAGAGAGAGAGAUCCUACCUGCGAUCCGGCUACUACUCACUCCUCCUCUCAUAGAGUGCUCAAGCCCUCACCACGCCACAUCAAGUUGAUCACCCGACGGGGCG